AGAUCUGGUUGUAUUUGGCUUUUAAUGUUAUUUUACUUAUUCUGUGAGUAGGAAGGGAGGGGGAGUCACUGCCCCUCUUUUGGGACCCGAGGCUUGCAGGCCGAUCAGGAUGAAAGACAUUGUCAGGUGGGGAGUUUAGCUGGGGCGGCACAUCUAUUAAAAGAUAACACACGUAUUCUAGAUGAGCUCAACGGGAACAGAAAUCUCAUAUGGAACAGAAGGGUAAAAGUUCGUUUGAUUUUGAUUUCAGUAUGAAAACGAACGGUAAAAGCGUGAUCGAACGAUCCUUUAGACCUUCAGAAUUCGAAGCUAGAGAUGUCACAAAAGUUAUCACAGGGAUAACUGGCAUGUAACAACUAAGCAUUCAUAACGACGUUACUUUUAAAAAUAAAAAAUAAAAAAUAGUA
rnacentral:ncRNA from 1 species